UACAGAGGUCCCAAGCGUUGUUCGGAUUCAUUGGGCGUAAAGGGUGCGUAGGCGGUUCAGUAAGUCGGGUGUGAAAACUCUGGGCUCAACCCAGAGAUGCCACCCGAUACUGCUGUGACUUGAGUACGGUAGGGGAGCAGGGAAUUCCUGGUGUAGCGGUGAAAUGCGCAGAUAUCAGGAGGAACACCGGUGGCGAAGGCGCUGCUCUGGGCCGAAACUGACGCUGAGGAGCGAAAGCGUGGGUAGCAAACAGG
rnacentral:rRNA from 1 species